rnacentral:tRNA from 1 species
GGGCAUUUGGCGCAGUGGUAGCGCGCUCGCUUUGCAUGCGAAAGGCCCAGGGUUCAAUCCCCUGAAUGUCCA